GUACAGCCCAGAGAGGUAUCAGCUCGUAGCCCCUCGAGUCCUGCCACGGACUCCGCAGAGGUGGACGCGCCGCGGAGUUGGGGGACGGCUCCCCCAAGCAGCCCGCUCUUCACCGCGCGGAAGCAAACUUAGCGGCGCGGCCAGCCCCACAGCCAUUUUCCCGGGAACCCGAGGAAGCGGACGAGGAGGCGGCUGCAACUGCGGCGGCGGUUCCUGCAGUUGCUGCCGCUGGUCAAUGGCUGGCCCCUUCCCUUGCGCUCGCCGUGCCACUUGCCUAGCAUCCCUCUCCCCACCUCCAAAGCUUCCAACUGCACCGGGACCUCGGGCAGCAGCAGCUGCUGCUACUGCCACUUCGUCCAUUCAGUAUCCCCGGAUUCCCCUCUCCCCACCUACCAACUGCGGGUGAAGUGCGCGCUGUCAGCUCCAGAGUCCUCCUCCCCUCUGACCUCCGUGGGCCCCCGUCCGGGCAGCACCACUCCCAGCCGCGGCUGCAGUUCCUGCGCCGGGUUCCCCACUCGCCCCGAUUUACUGCCACAAUCCACCAAAUAACAAGCUGUUGAGCAGACUCGCUUCUACACGAACUCCUAUUGGCUGCUCAUGACGCCGAAGAGCUUCGGAUAGGACCUCGCUACCUGCCGUCCUCAUUGGAUGUAGCUGUGAAACUUCAUGGAUUGGUGAGAAAAACAGCAGAAUAAGACUGAUUUUAUGGGAAAAUUAAGCAGAUGCUCCAGUUUGAGAAACCUGGAUCUGCGAUCUGUUUGUGGUACCAGCAUCAAGAUGAUUUAUGGUAAUAAGGACCAUGGCAGAAUUAAUUCCAAGCGUCAGAAGAGCCAUUAGAUGACUUGGAGCAAGCAAGACAGAUGGAACCUAGAAAAUAACAAAAUCAAUACAACAAAACCGGAAUGAGUGUCAUUAUUUGAAGGUAUUUGCCUUAUAUCCAAAUAUAUUUGAAAAAAUUCACAGGAACAUUAUAUUAAUUUAUAUGGUGAUACCUACUCAACCAUUUUAUGAGAGUAAUUAAGAACUAGUUUGUUGAUUUAUAUAAAUUCACUCAAUAACCAAAAUACACUGUAAUAAAAAUAGCUCAACUGUUUCAUUCCAAAAUGACAAUUAUGAAGCAUUUUUCUUUAUUCUUGUUCUCUUUUGGAAGGGAAAAUUGAAAGGGAUAAAAGAAGAGGUCUAGAGGCUGGGCACAGAGGCU
rnacentral:lncRNA from 1 species